UGCUUUAGUUGCUGAACUACUGUUUAUUCUUUUGCUACCAGGUAAUCCUUUAAGACUCGUAAUGUACGUAUUUUCAGCAAUGGGAACAACUUGAACAUGCUGCACCAUUGAAAUGUGUUUAAUGUGAUGAAUAGUUUGACAACAAAAGAGCUUGUAUGAUAUUGUUAUGUAUCAAGCAUGUGAUACUGUGAAUAUAGUCCUUCAUAAUACUUGAAUAUUGAGUUGUAAGUUUUUGAAUGUGAUAUGUAAGUCGUUUAUGGAUUUUUUAAGCAUGUUUUCAAGCUAUUAUAUCCGAGUAACAAUGCUAAGUAUGCCAUGAAUGACUUUAGGUGUAUAACACAUAGCAUGAGUUCGUUUUAGUUGCUGAAAUUUCACUGCCAA